UACGAAGGGGGCUAGCGUUGUUCGGAAUUACUGGGCGUAAAGCGCACGUAGGCGGACAUUUAAGUCAGGGGUGAAAUCCCAGAGCUCAACUCUGGAACUGCCUUUGAUACUGGGUGUCUUGAGUAUGGAAGAGGUGAGUGGAAUUCCGAGUGUAGAGGUGAAAUUCGUAGAUAUUCGGAGGAACACCAGUGGCGAAGGCGGCGUCCUGGGACCAAUACUGACCACUGAGUGAGCGAAAGCGUGGGGAGCAAACAGG
rnacentral:rRNA from 1 species